AAGUCGGAACAAGGUUUCCGUAGGUGAACCUGCGGAAGGAUCAUUAACACGUAUCCAAACGUAAAAAACCCCCCCCGUGAACAUUCAAUCCUGCUCUUGUAACCCGCGUAGUUCGCAAUCUCUGGUAAAUCAUAGCCCGGAAAGUAGUUUUGAUUCAGAGACCUCUGGCUACGUGAGAACAUUGGAACAGUUACAAUCGAGCGGUAGUUUCAUAGGCAUUGUUUCCCCAAAUUGUGCAAGGAUAGCGCUUCAACGAUUCCUGUAGACCGUACACUCGGGCAGGAGCUAUGCCAAAGGGUCCCCAUGCCCCCUUAUAACCCCACAGUUUAAUGUGAAGCACAAUGUAAUACAUUGGGUAAAAAAACCGAACAACUGUUAACAAUGGAUAUCUUGGUUCUC
rnacentral:misc_RNA from 1 species